rnacentral:rRNA from 1 species
GACGAACGCUGGCGGCGUGCCUAAUACAUGCAAGUCGAGCGGACCAACCAGGAGCUUGCUCUUGUUUGGUUAGCGGCGGACGGGUGAGUAACACGUGGGUAACCUGCCCGUAAGACCGGGAUAACUCCGGGAAACCGGAGCUAAUACCGGAUAACAACGAAGACAGCAUGGUCUUUGGUUGAAACGCGGCUUCGGCUGCCACUUACGGAUGGGCCCGCGGCGCAUUAGAUAGUUGGUGAAGAAACGGCUCACCACGGCGACGAUGCGACGCCGUCCUGAGAGGGUGACGGGCCACACUGGGAGUGAGACACGGCACAGACCCCUACGGGAGGCGGCAGUAGGGGAUUUGCCGCAAUGGACGAAAGUCUGACGGGGCGGCGACGCGGGAGCAAAGAAGGUCUUCGGAUCGUAAAGAUCUGUUGUUAGGGAAGAAGAAGCGCCGUUCGAACAGGGCGGCGCGGUGACGGUACCUAACGAGAAAGCCCCGGCUAACUACGUG